CGGGUGAGUAACACGUGGAUAACCUACCUAUAAGACUGGGAUAACUUCGGGAAACCGGAGCUAAUACCGGAUGAUAUUUUGAACCGCAUGGUUCAAAAGUGAAAGACGGGCUUGCUGUCACUUAUAGAUGGAUCCGCGCUGCAUUAGCUAGUUGGUAAGGUAACGGCUUACCAAGGCAACGAUGCAUAGCCGACCUGAGAGGGUGAUCGGCCACACUGGAACUGAGACACGGUCCAG
rnacentral:rRNA from 1 species